AAGUUGCUCUUAGUAAAGUGUAACAUAACCUAAUGUGCCUCAUUUACAUUGGGGUAAUAUCUUAUUGAUCUCUUUAA
rnacentral:tRNA from 1 species